UAGGGAAUCUUCCGCAAUGGGCGAAAGCCUGACGGAGCAACGCCGCGUGAGUGAUGAAGGUCUUCGGAUCGUAAAACUCUGUUAUUAGGGAAGAACAAAUGUGUAAGUAACUAUGCACGUCUUGACGGUACCUAAUCAGAAAGCCACGGCUAACUACGUGCCAGCAGCCGCGGUAAUACGUAGGUGGCAAGCGUUAUCCGGAAUUAUUGGGCGUAAAGCGCGCGUAGGCGGUUUUUUAAGUCUGAUUUGAAAGCACACGGCUCAACCGUGGAGGGUCAUUGGAAACUGGAAAACUUGAGUGCAGAAGAGGAAAGUGGAAUUCCAUGUGUAGCGGUGAAAGGCGCAGAGAUAUGGAGGAACACCAGUGGCGAAGGCGACUUUCUGGUCUGUAACUGACGCUGAUGUGCGAAAGCGUGGGGAUCAAACAGG
rnacentral:rRNA from 1 species